GAUGAACGCUAGCUACAGGCUUAACACAUGCAAGUCGAGGGGAAACGACAUCGAAAGCUUGCUUUUGAUGGGCGUCGACCGGCGCACGGGUGAGUAACGCGUAUCCAACCUGCCCACCACUUGGGGAUAACCUUGCGAAAGUAAGACUAAUACCCAAUGAUAUCUCUAGAAGACAUCUGAAAGAGAUUAAAGAUUUAUCGGUGAUGGAUGGGGAUGCGUCUGAUUAGCUUGUUGGCGGGGUACCGGCCCACCAAGGCUACGAUCAGUAGGGGUUCUGAGAGGAAGGUCCCCCACAUUGGAACGGAGACACGGUCCAAACACCUACGGGAGGCAGCAGUGAGGAAUAUUGGUCAAUGGACGAGAGUCUGAACCAGCCAAGUAGCGUGCAGGAUGACGGCCCUAUGGGUUGUACACUGCUUUUAUAAGGGAAUAAAGUGAGUCUCGUGAGACUUUUUGCAUGUACCUUAUGAAUAAGGACCGGCUAAUUCCGUGCCAGCCGCCGCCGUAA
rnacentral:rRNA from 1 species